rnacentral:rRNA from 1 species
GCGGUGGAGCAUGUGGUUUAAUUCGAAGCAACGCGCAGAACCUUACCAGCCCUUGACAUCCCGGUCGCGGUUUCCAGAGAUGGAUUCCUUCAGUUCGGCUGGACCCGGUGACAGGUGCUGCAUGGCUGUCGUCAGCUCGUGUCGUGAGAUGUUGGGUUAAGUCCCGCAACGAGCGCAACCCUCGCCCUUAGUUGCCAUCAUUCAGUUGGGCACUCUAAGGGGACUGCCGGUGAUAAGCCGAGAGGAAGGUGGGGAUGACGUCAAGUCCUCAUGGCCCUUACGGGCUGGGCUACACACGUGCUACAAUGGUGGUGACAGUGGGCAGCGAGACCGCGAGGUCGAGCUAAUCUCCAAAAGCCAUCUCAGUUCGGAUUGCACUCUGCAACUCGAGUGCAUGAAGUUGGAAUCGCUAGUAAUCGCGGAUCAGCAUGCCGCGGUGAAUACGCUCCCGGGCCUU